AUUGAACGCUGGCGGCAUGCUUUACACAUGCAAGUCGGACGGCAGCGGGGUAGUGCUUGCACUACUGCCGGCGAGUGGCGAACGGGUGAGUAAUAUAUUGGAACGUACCGAGUAAUGGGGGAUAACCAAUCGAAAGAUUGGCUAAUACCGCAUACGCUCUGAGGAGGAAAGCAGGGGACCUUCGGGCCUUGCGUUAUUCGAGCGGCCAAUAUCUGAUUAGCUAGUUGGUGGGGUAAGGGCCUACCAAGGCGACGAUCAGUAGCGGGUCUGAGAGGAUGAUCCGCCACACAGGGACUGAGACACGGCCCAGACUCCUACGGGAGGCAGCAGUGGGGAAUUUUGGACAAUGGGCGCAAGCCUGAUCCAGCCAUGCCGCGUGUCUGAAGAAGGCCUUCGGGUUGUAAAGGACUUUUGUUAGGGAAGAAAAAGGAGCGGUUAAUACCCGUUUCUGCUGACGGUACCUAAAGAAUAAGCACCGGCUAACUACGUG
rnacentral:rRNA from 1 species